GACGAACGCUGGCGGCGUGCUUAACACAUGCAAGUCGAACGGAAAGGCCCUGCUUUUGUGGGGUGCUCGAGUGGCGAACGGGUGAGUGACACAUGAGUAACAUCCCCUUGUCUUUGGGGUAACUUCACGGAACUGGGGCGAAUACCCCGGAGGAUCUCCUGCUGCAUGGUGGGGGUUGGAAAGUGUCGGCGGUUGGGGAUGGACUCGCGGGUUAUCAGCUUGUUGGGGGGGUAGGGGCUGUCCACGGCUUUGACGGGUAGGCCGCAUGGGAGGGUGGACGGCGACCUGGGGACUGCGAUACGCACCAGAAUCCUACGGGCGGCAGCAGUGGGAAGUAUUGCGCAAUGGCCGGAAGCCAGAUGCGGCAACGCUGCGUGCGUAAUGCUGGCCUUCGGGUUGAAAACAGAUUUCGCAUGUGCCGAAGCGUGAGUGACGGUAAUGGGUAAAGAAGCCCCGGCUAACUACGUG
rnacentral:rRNA from 1 species